GGAUUGUGGCUCAGAGGUAGAGUGCUCACCUAGCAUGCAUGGGGCCCUGGGUUCGAUCCUCAGCACCA
rnacentral:tRNA from 1 species